rnacentral:lncRNA from 1 species
AAGUAAUUCUUCACAAUGUUGUCUUUGUCAUACACACACAAAUUUUAGAGAGCUAGAAAUGGAGGAAAAUAGAUGAUAUAACAGCCAAUUCUCUGUCAAUGAUCAGACAUUAUUUUAAAUGGGAUUAUAUAGUUUAUACUAUUUUGUAGCUUUGAGUUUCUAUCACUUUAAGAAGCCCUUCAUUUGUAGAUGACUGCUAAUUUUGGGCAUUACAUCCUUCCAUUUUUCACUUCAUCUUUUGUAAAGCAUGUUUUUAACAUCUUUGUUUUAUUAAUACAUGUUUGCAGUGCAGAGUGGUUACAUUCAUUGUGGCUAGUAGGUACAUGUACCUAACAUCUAAAUUCUUUUCACAUCCCCUUUCCCUCCAGUACAUCCUCCUCUUUAUCGCUUGGUCCUCUUCCCAUUUGGAAGAGAUCUACCUGUUUCCUCUUACCUUUUAUUUUCCUCUCACCUUUUAUUUUCCUUUCAUUUGUACUAUGGGUUUCUCAUAAGAGAAACCAUAUGGUACUCAAGCUUGUGUGUCUUCAUUUAUUUUAUUGAACAUUAUGGUCUCAUGGUGCAUCCACUUUUCUACAGAUGACUUCUAUUUAUCCUUUCCAGCAGAAUAAUGCUCCAUUGUGUAUCAGCACAUUUCCAUUAUUGAUCUAUUGGUGGACUUCAAGGAUGUUUCCAUGAUUUAUCUAUUUUUGGUGCUGCUAUAACCGAGCUAAAGCCAAAUUUGAAGAACUUGAUCUCUCCUGCUUACAGUGGUUAAAUUUUGGAAAUCUGGAAAUGAAGCUAUUGGAAUUUCAAGAAAGCUCCAUCUGAAAAAAUAAAUUCUAUGAACUGCAUGCAACACUUGAAAAGAGAGAGAAGAUAGAGUGUGAAGGGAUGACAAAGGAUAACACAGUUGGUAGUUCUGCUUAAAGUGUACCAUUCUUUACCAAAUAAUUUUUUGGGUUUCCUUUUUGAGACAGGGUUUUGCUAUGUAGUUCAGGCUGGCCUUGAACUCACUAUGUAGCCCAGGCUGGCCUUGAACUAAUGGCAAUCUUCCUGCCUCCACCUCCCAAGUGCUGGGAUCACAGGUGUGUGCCACCAUGUCUGGCUCUGCCAAAUAAUUUUAAGUCAAUGUAUUGGAGGCUGAUCAAUCACCUGACCAAGGGUACGGUGACAGGAUAAUAAAUGACAAGACAAGAUCUUAAUGCAUAAACGGGGUGGGGG